rnacentral:rRNA from 1 species
GACGAACGCUGGCGGCGUGCUUAACACAUGCAAGUCGAACGGAAAGGCCCUGCUUUUGUGGGGUGCUCGAGUGGCGAACGGGUGAGUAACACGUGAGUAACCUGCCCUUGACUUUGGGAUAACUUCAGGAAACUGGGGCUAAUACCGGAUAGGAGCUCCUGCUGCAUGGUGGGGGUUGGAAAGUUUCGGCGGCUGGGGAUGGACGCGCGGCUUAUCAGCUUGUUGGUGGGGUAGUGGCUUACCAAGGCUUUGACGGGUAGCCGGCCUGAGAGGGUGACCGGCCACAUUGGGACUGAGAUGCGGCGCAGACUCCUACGGGAGGCAGCAGUGGGGAAUAUUGCACAAUGGGCGGAAGCCUGAUGCAGCAACGCCGCGUGCGGGAUGACGGCCUUCGGGUUGUAAACCGCUUUCGCCUGUGACGAAGCGUGAGUGACGGUAAUGGGUAAAGAAGCACCGGCUAACUACGUG